GAUGAACGCUAGCGAUAGGCUUAACACAUGCAAGUCGAGGGGCAGCAUGAUCUUAGCUUGCUAAGGUCGAUGGCGACCGGCGCACGGGUGCGUAACGCGUAUGCAACUUGCCUUACAGAGGGGGAUAACCCGUUGAAAGACGGACUAAAACCGCAUACACUUGUAUUAUUGCAUGAUAUUACAAGGAAAUAUUUAUAGCUGUAAGAUAGGCAUGCGUCCCAUUAGCUAGUUGGUGAGGUAACGGCUCACCAAGGCAACGAUGGGUAGGGGAACUGAGAGGUUUAUCCCCCACACUGGUACUGAGACACGGACCAGACUCCUACGGGAGGCAGCAGUGAGGAAUAUUGGUCAAUGGGCGAGAGCCUGAACCAGCCAAGUCGCGUUGAAGGAAGACAGUCCUAAGGAUUGUAAACUUCUUUUAUACGGGAAUAACGGGCGAUACGAGUAUUGCAUUGAAUGUACCGUAAGAAUAAGCAUCGGCUAACUCCGUGCCAGCAGCCGCGGUAAUACGGAGGAUGCGAGCGUUAUCCGGAUUUAUUGGGUUUAAAGGGUGCGUAGGUUGUUCGGUAAGUCAGCGGUGAAACCUGAGCGCUCAACGUUCAGCCUGCCGUUGAAACUGCCGGGCUUGAGUUCAGUGGCGGCAGGCGGAAUUCGUGGUGUAGCGGUGAAAUGCAUAGAUAUCACGAGGAACUCCGAUUGCGAAGGCAGCUUGCCAUACUGCGACUGACACUGAAGCACGAAGGCGUGGGUAUCAAACAGGAUUAGAUACCCUGGUAGUCCGCGCUGUAGACGAUGAUGACUAACUGUUGGUUCCAAUGGGAUCAGUGGUCAAA
rnacentral:rRNA from 1 species